CUAUCUCCAAACCCAACGUCUUCCAUCAAGGACCAUUUCUCUCUUUCUUUCUUUUUUUUUAAUGAUGAUUUUUACUUUUUCCAUUACAGUUGGUCUACAGUGCUCUGGGACCAUUUAUUUCUUGUUGUGGAUCUGUAGGAGAGUGUGGCUGGCUGGUCCAAGCUGGCCUUGGCUGAGUAGUUCCAUGUCAUGCUGCAGGUCUUGGGGAGGUGGGACCUUGAGAAAGUCCUCCAUGUUGGAGUUGAACAGUCACUCCCUCCUCAUCUCAAGAACGUGUUCAGAGCCAUCACACCAGCCCUACUGGAAACAAGCUCCAGAAAACCAGUCCUUUUCCCCCAUUAUUGUUCUGCAAACAUUGCUACUGGGUGAGCAGGGACCACACCUCACCAAAAGGAUUGGCUUUGAGGUGAAUCAGACAAAUUUUUAGAAACAGCCAAAGGAGGAAACUCUGAGAGCAAACACUUGACCUUGGGAGUUAGUAGCCUAAGACCCAAGCCCGUUAGUAAUACAUUGUGGACUUAUAACACUUGAAGUAUUGUCUACAGAUGCAGGGAAAUUCUAUCCAUCCUUAAGCCAUCAAUUAGAGUUAGCAAAAUAUGGUGCUAUGAUUAAAAUAUUCUAUACUCCUUGGGAAGCAGUUAUUUAGAGAUGAAGUAUCAUUAUUAGUGUGUAUGUAUGUUUCUGUAUAAAACUAUGUCUUUAUAUCAUAUUUGUACACUCCAUAUUUCCAGGCUGUUUUGUAACCACAUAUGAAAACAAAAGAAUUGUGUGGGGGAGAUGGGUAACUAGAUGUAUAAGUACAUAGACAAAUGGAUAAGCUAGAUUCCUUAAGUGGUAAUUUUUAAAAAUAAAUCAGGAUAAGUUGAUGCUCUUAACUCAAAAUAGGGGAAAUUCAGCCUUAGAACAAUGACUAGUAAGAUGAAAAUAGAAGAGCAUAUCAUAAUGGACUAAAUAAACCCCCAAACCCCAAACCUUCUAUUAAACCCUGUAUCCAGGGCAGACAGUGGGGCAGAGAGACUGAGGACCGAGUGGCAAUCAUGAAUCUGGGAAUAAACAUAAAUGAGCAGAUAGCUUUUUGAGGCAAAGCCUAUAUCUCAUAGCUUCCUGGUUUUCUUAACUUCCUGCCUUACAGAGGCUGCUGGAUAGAUAAUCACUGUUUGAAUAAAAUUCAGAGAAGUCAAACAUUAUUUACAUUAAUUGAGGUAGAAAUUCGUAAAUCAACUAUAACAAGAAUUUUUUAAAAGACUUAAAAAAAGAGUAUUGUAUAAAUGUAAACAUAAAAAAAUAGAAACUAGAUGAUCUAAUUAUUAGUGAUAGAUAUUAUCAGAAAAGAGAGAGCCAA
rnacentral:lncRNA from 9 species